UACAGAGGUCUCAAGCGUUGUUCGGAUUCAUUGGGCGUAAAGGGUGCGUAGGCGGCGCGGUAAGUCGGGUGUGAAAGUCUCGGAGCUUAACUCCGAAACUGCAUUCGAUACUGCCGUGCUUGAGGACUGGAGAGGAGACUGGAAUUUACGGUGUAGCUGGUGAAAUGCGUAGAUAUCGUAAGGAAGACCAGUGGCGAAGGCGGGUCUCUGGACAGUUCC
rnacentral:rRNA from 1 species